rnacentral:pre_miRNA from 1 species
AUAAUACUCCCUCCGUCCGGAAAUACUUGUCGAUGAAAUGGAUAAAAAUGGAUGAAUCUAGAACUAAAAUAAGUCUAGAUACAUCCAUUUCUUCGACAAGUAUUUUCGGAUGGAGGGAGUACACG